rnacentral:misc_RNA from 1 species
GAUGAAGAACGUAGCGAAAUGCGAUAAGUAGUGUGAAUUGCAGAAUUCAGUGAAUCAUCGAAUCUUGAACGCACAUUGCGCCUCCUGGUAUUCCGGGAGGCAUGCCUGUUCGAGCGUCAUUAAAAUCACUCAAGCUUAGGUUUACCUAUUGCUUGGUCUUGGAGAUGGAAGCCAAUUUAUUGGAAUCCUCUUCGAAAUUCAAUGGCGAAGACCCUUGCUCUCCCAAGUGUAGUAAUAACUUAUGUCACUGAAGGAAGCGAGAAAUCUUCUGCCGUAACCCCCAUAUUUUCUAUGAUUGACCUCGGAUCAGGUAGGGAUACCCGCUGAACUUAAGCAUAUCAAUAAGCGGAGGA